rnacentral:pre_miRNA from 1 species
GUAGUCGGAUUCGCAUCAAUUCACAUAUGUUGGUGUGGGUUGAAGUGUCCAAUCCACUCCAACACAUGUGGAUUGAGGUGAAUCCGACA